rnacentral:lncRNA from 13 species
UUUAAAUAUUCAAAUUUAGAGAAUGUAGAACUAAUAAAAUAAUCAAAAUAUAGCCCUGCUAUUAUUUUUGCAGUCUAUUCAAAACACCAUUGUAUUAGUAAUUUGAUGCAGGUUCAAUUCAAUAUCAACCUCUAAUCAAAAUUUCCAAGUCAGAUAAAAGUAUAUGUGAUAGGAAUGCAGAAAGAGAUCCAGAAAAUUGUGUUUCAAUAUAAUGUAUAUCAUCUGAUUUUAAUCACAAAGUGAAUCUUUCAUCUAGUAGUUCUCAAACUGUGGUAAGGAGAUCUCAAUACCUUUUCGAGAGUCUUCAGGAUCAAAAUUAUUUUCAUAGUGGUACUAAAAUGCUAUUUACCUUUUUCUGUGUUAUUUCUCAAAAGUGUAUGAUGGAGUUUUUCAGAGACUACAGGAUGUGCAAUAUCACAACAGAUGGUCAUAGAAGCAUACAUGAAAAUCCAACUGUCUUCUGAAAAAGAUUACAAAAAUGUAAAACAAUGUUUUGCUUAUUACUAUUUUGUUUGUUUUCAAUUAUAUAUUAAUAGCUAUUUUUCAUAAAAUGUUUUUAUGUUAACAUGUAAUUGUUAUUUUAAAUACACUAAUAAAUAUUUUUGAAAUGUAUCUUUUUUUUUUCUUGAUACAGGGUCUUGCUCUGUUACCCAGGCUGGAGUGCAGUGGCACAAGUGUUCGCUGCAACUUCCGCCUCCUUGGCUUAAACAAUUCUCAUGCCUCACCUCUGAGUAGCUGGGACUACAGGCACACACCACCACGCCUGGCUAAUUUUUGUAUUUUUUGUAGAGGCAGGGUUUCACCAUGUUGUCCAGGCUGGUCUUGAACUUCUGAGCUCAGUUGAUCUGACUGCCUCGGCCUCCCACAGUGCUGAGAUUACAGGCAUGAGCCACCAUGCCUGGCCUCUCCUUUAAUGUGUAAUACGCAUUAAAGGAGCCCUAUGACAGAGCAGCUGCAGACAAUGCAGAAGAAAGGAUCCACAGUCCAGAUGGCAAGCCAGGCCGAGCCCCACGGCUACCUUACCUGCAGGUGUGUGCAGCACCAGAAGCCCCAAAUCAGUGUUCAUGACUCCCCACCUGGCUGGGCCAUACUCCCUUCCUGCUGCCACCCAGAUUGCCGAGGAGGUUUCAGGUUGAAAAGAUUCCACCUUUACCUGUUGCUUGGAGAAUGCCAGCCCUGAAACAUCUUAUAUACCAUCAAAUUUGUGACUUUAAAUAAAGUGUGUUAUAUUGCUUUUCCUUAUAAUGAA